GAAGGAAUUGCAUACAUAUAUCUAUUGCUAUCUGCUCUCCCGGUUUCCCCUUUGUUCUUUUUUUAACUUCUGAUGUCUCUUAUUUUAUAUCUUUAAACUGACCAAUUUGUUUAAUGCUCUAUACUGUUCGGUGCUGAUGACGGCCAAAAAAUUGUCAAGGAAACUGACUUCAUACCUCCCCAAACUGAAACAAAUGGUCAAGGUAAUGCUUUCCGAGUAAUGAUAAGGGCAUUGAAAGAGGAGUAUGAGCGACUUCCUCCUUACAUCGAGACUCUAGCAUCAUGGGAGGUCUGGAUUUCUUUAGCUACUUGGGAGAAUUGCAGGAGGCAGUGUCCAAACUAAAUUCAUACUUCGGUGGUGACAAAGCUCAGGGAAGCAUUGCAUUGAAUCAAGAUGAUGUCGGAGCAAUUGGGUUGGGGCGCAAAGGAAGAUCC